UAAUAGUUUUAAUAUAUUUAAAUCUAUUAUAUUUAUCAAUUAGGUCUUUCAGGAGUGGUUGACUGAGUGCUCUUAUGUUUAAAUAUCUGAUAGUGGCUUUCACAAGCAAAAUAAUGUUUCGGCUGGUUACAGAACUUUUGGGCUACGUUUCCCUUUCCCUAAUACCCAGCAGACACUAUUCCAUUAUCUUCUGGCAUCUAGGGUUACUCUAGAGAAGUCUGGGGCCAGCCUGACUGUUUUUUUCCCUUUGUAGGUGACCUACUUCUGCCUGAGUAUUGCUAGAAUUCUUUCUUUAUCCUUGAAGUUCAGUAACUUCAUCAGGAUAUAACUCGAUCUUGGUGUGAUUCUCUAUUACAUUUUCCUGUUAAAUGAUGUUUUCAGUCCCACUUCUCACUACUGACCUUCCUCGUACGACGGUCACUGAACUGGCGCCUCUCUGGGGUUCUGCCCAGAAGAUUAGCCUUCCUCCUUCGCUGCAGCUCCUCUAACUCAACAAAAAUCCAGUGGAAGGCUUUUCUGCAGGUUUAAUAGAUGACAAUGAUCUCUACCGAUGGGAAGUCCUUAUUAUUGGCCCUCCAGAUACACUUUAUGAAGGUGGUGUUUUUAAGGCUCAUCUCACUUUCCCAAAAGAUUAUCCCCUCCGGCCUCCUAAAAUGAAAUUCAUUACAGAAAUCUGGCACCCAAAUGUUGAUAAAAACGGUGAUGUGUGCAUUUCUAUUCUUCAUGAGCCUGGGGAAGAUAAGUAUGGCUA